UACGGGGGGGGCAAGCGUUGUUCGGAAUUACUGGGCGUAAAGGGCGCGUAGGCGGCCAACUAAGUCAGACGUGAAAUCCCUCGGCUUAACCGGGGAACUGCAUCUGAUACUGGAUGGCUUGAGUUCGGGAGAGGGAUGCGGAAUUCCCGGUGUAGCGGUGAAAUGCGUAGAGAUCGGGAGGAAGGCCGGUGGCGAAGGCGGCGCUCUGGAACAUUUCUGACGCUGAGGCUCGAAAGCGUGGGGAGCAAACAGGG
rnacentral:rRNA from 1 species